rnacentral:miRNA from 1 species
CUGAUCUGCUCAGCUCUGGGCCACCCGGAGCUUGGAGCGUCCUUGCUGUCCUGUGCCCUCCUGGCUUCUGCCUGUCCCGGGGGGAGCAAGGGUUCUUGGGCUAUGUCCCUGGCACCCUGUGCUCCGGGCCUACGCUGUUGGAAUC